UUGAUUGUGAAUCGGUUGCCUCCUGUGCUGGCUUUUGCAAGUGCACGGUGGUGACUUUCAUCCACCCCCUUGUGAACCUUUGGCCUCUUGCUGGCUUUGGUUGGCAGAGGAUUUUUACACAAACUCGAAUGUAAUGAGAAAUACUGUUGUGCGCAAGCACGAAUGUACAACUUUCAACAACGGAUCUCUUGGCUCUCGCAUCGAUGAAGAACGCAGCGAAAUGCGAUAAGUAAUGUGAAUUGCAGAAUUCAGUGAAUCAUCGAAUCUUUGAACGCACCUUGCACCCUUUGGCAUUCUGAAGGGUAUGCUCGUUUGAGUGUCAUUGUACUCUCACACUCUCAAUCCUUUGGGUUGGGAGUGGUGGACUUGGGCAUUGCUGCUUUACUGCAGCUUGCCUCAAAUGCAUUAGUGCAACUCCAGGUUGGACAUAGUACGGCGUGAUAAGUGUCUUCGCCGGCACCUCGCAAGAGGGUGACUGAUCAGGAGCUCUGUGCUUCAAACCGUCUUCGGACAAUCAUCUGACAACUUGACCUCAAAUCGAGUAGGACUACCCGCUGAACUUAAGCAUAUCAAUAAGCGGAGGAAAAGAAACUAACAAGGAUUCCCCUAGUAACGGCGAGUGAAGAGGGAAGAGCUCAAAUUUUGAAUCUGGCACCUUUGGUGUCCGAAUUGUAAUCUAGAGAAGUGUUUUCUGUGAUGGACCAUGCAUAAGUCUCCUGGGAUGGAGCGUCAUAGAGGGUGAGAAUCCCGUAUAUGGCAUGGACUCCCGUUGCUCUGUGAUACACUCUCGACGAGUCGAGUUGUUUGGGAAUGCAGCUCCAAAUGGGUGGUAAAUGCCAUCUAAAGCUAAAUAUUGGCGAGAGACCGAUAGCGAACAAGUACCGUGAGGGAAAGAUGAAAAGCACUUUGGAAAGAGAGUGAAACAGUACGUGAAAUUGUUGAAAGGGAAACGCUUGAAGUCAGUCACACCGUUCGGGAUUCAGCCUUGCUUCUGCUCGGUUUACUUCCUGUUGGGUGGGUCAACAUCAGUUUUGGUCAGAGGAGAAAUGCUUGGGGAAUGUGGCAGCAUUCGUGCUGUGUUAUAGCCCCUU
rnacentral:rRNA from 1 species